rnacentral:rRNA from 1 species
AUACGGAGGACGCGAGCGUUAUCCGGAUUCAUUGGGUUUAAAGGGUGCGCAGGCGGCCGUGCAAGUCAGCGGUGAAAGCCCGGGGCUCAACCCCGGAAGUGCCGUUGAUACUGCGUGGCUGGAAUGCGGUCGAGGCGGGCGGAACGUGGCGUGUAGCGGUGAAAUGCGGAGAUAGGCAACAGAAAGCCGAUAGCGGAGGCGGUUCGCCAGGCCUGCAUUGACGCUCGGGCACGAAAGCGUGGGGAUCGAACAGGAUUAGAUACCCUGGUAGUCCACGCCGUAAACGAUGGGCGCUCGUCGUCGGCGGCAGACAGUCGGCGGCCAAGCGAAAGCGAUAAGCGCCCCACCUGGGGAGUACGGUCGCAAGGCUGAAACUCAAAUGAAUUGACGGGG